rnacentral:rRNA from 1 species
AUUGAACGCUGGCGGCAUGCUUUACACAUGCGAGUCAAACGGUAACAGGCCGCAAGGUGCUGACGAGUGGCGAACGGGUGAGUAAUGCAUCGGAACGUGCCCAGUCGUGGGGGAUAACUACUCGAAAGAGUAGCUAAUACCGCAUACGAUCUAUGGAUGAAAGCGGGGGACCGUAAGGCCUCGCGCGAUUGGAGCGGCCGAUGUCAGAUUAGGUAGUUGGUGGGGUAAAGGCUCACCAAGCCAACGAUCUGUAGCUGGUCUGAGAGGACGACCAGCCACACUGGGACUGAGACACGGCCCAGACUCCUACGGGAGGCAGCAGUGGGGAAUUUUGGACAAUGGGCGCAAGCCUGAUCCAGCAAUGCCGCGUGCAGGAAGAAGGCCUUCGGGUUGUAAACUGCUUUUGUACGGAACGAAACGGCUCUGGUUAAUACCCGGGGCUAAUGACGGUACCGUAAGAAUAAGCACCGGCUAACUACGUG